GAACCGCUACACUGAUG
rnacentral:snRNA from 2 species